rnacentral:rRNA from 1 species
GUGAGGAAUUUUCCGCAAUGGGCGAAAGCCUGACGGAGCAAUGUCGCGUGAAGGAUGAAGGCCUAUGGGUUGUAAACUUCUUUUCUCAGAAAAGAAUUAUGACGGUAUCUGAGGAAUAAGCAUCGGCUAACUCUGUGCCAGCAGCCGCGGUAAGACAGAGGAUGCAAGCGUUAUCCGGAAUGAUUGGGCGUAAAGCGUCUGUAGGUUGUUUAAAAAGUAUUCUGUCAAAGAUUAGGGCUUAACCCUAGAUAGGCAGAAUAAACUUUUAAGCUAGAGUUUGGUAGAGGCAGAGGGAAUUCCUGGUGGAGCGGUGAAAUGCGUAGAUAUCGGGAGGAACACCAAAGGCGAAGGCACUCUGCUGGGCCAAUACUAACACUGAGAGACGAAAGCGAGGGGAGCAAAUGGGAUUAGAAACCCGAGUAGUCC